UAGAAGUGAUGCAGAUAAAUCACAAGACUUACCACUUAAUGUAUUGAAUUGAAGACAUCGCAGGGCAAAAAGAUGGCCAAAAUAAUUAAUGUAUUGCUAAUAAAUUUUUAGGAUAUGAAUUUGCAAAAUUUUUUUAAUUCUUGAGAUUUAUAAGAAUUUUUCUUGAGAAUUGGGAACAAAAUUUUCUUAUAAAUCUUGAAAUUUCUUGAGAUGAGAAUCUCGAGCACUGUCACUAACCACCUUUUAUUUGACAUGUCUGAUGUAUACUGUAAUAAAUUAGUUUAUCACAGUUCAUAACAGCACUAUAAGUAAGUAAAAACAUUUUAAUGCCAUACUGUCUUUCAUCUUUUGGAUCUCCAAGUUGGGACUGAUAGGGGUGAAUAUGUUACCAAGAUAAAUAGGAAGCCAGCAUAUAUGCCUGUUCUGAUACCAGCUUGGUCUCAUGACCCUAUGUCAUAUAAGCUGAUAAGUUUUAAGUCUAUGUUUAGAAGGGCAUGUACCCAUAUUAUAAAGUGGCAGGAUAGGAAUGAAGAAUUAUCCUAUAUUUUUAUCCAGGAGCAUAAGUAUGGUUUUACCGCCAAGGUUAUACAAGGUGUCUGGGAGAAAGUGCAUAAGUCUAUGUAGAUAACACCCAGGGUAACUCCCCCUAUACAGCGAGAGGUAGAUGCCUGCCCCUUUGCAGACAUUACAUACUAUAAAGCCACCGAUAAGAUCCUGGGUAGAGCUCUGAAAGACAGAAGAUAUAGAAUGGCCUGAAAAAGAGGUCCCACAUUAUUUAACAUCCUUUGCAAUGACAAGGACCCUGUCCCGAAAAGUAAGAGGUCUAGCAUUUAUUCAGUUCCCCUGUAUAACAGAGAUGAGGCUGCUACACAAUAUUAUAUCAGUAAUAAAAGGAGAAACUUAGAUAGAAG
rnacentral:lncRNA from 1 species